rnacentral:lncRNA from 1 species
ACUUGUGACCUUAGGAUGCUGUCACACUUGAGUCUGAUGCCAAGCCUCUGAAACGGCCAGGCAGAGUCAGCUUUCUGUUGUUGGGGCAGUGCCCGCCUAGGACCCUGAGAACCUGGAGCUGUGAAUGAACCUGGGAUUGAGAAGAUGGACACCUGCUCAGGCCAUUGUCGUCAGGCUUUGCCUGUCUCACACUGCCCAUGCCAGAGACCAGACAAGGAACAGACAGCUAGGAGCAAACCUAACACCUCAGGGGCCACCUUUACCAUGAAGCUCUCCCUGCCCUGGUGGCUAAGAUUAGUCCUCAAGAGGAACCACGAUCCAGGGAGCUGAGGCAAGCAAGGGCCAGGCCAAGCCAACAAUCAAGGUGUGCUCCGCUACUGAGCUAGCUUCCGUGCCUGAGAGGAAGGUCAAGGAAGGCUGCUGCUUCUUUGGUGCCAAGGAGACAGGAUCUGCAUGUGAAAGGGGCACUCUGUGAGCUGCUCUGAGCCAUGGAUCCAACCCCAGAGCUGCUCCUGAGCUCGGCGGGCAGCAUCCUGAAGCAGAGAGAGAGAACUUAGGAUGAAAUUCCUGGGCAGAAGCCACCAAGCCUCCUCGGUCCUCCUGCCCCUCUGCACACUCUUGCAAACAGCAUGGCUUCUCUGCCAGGAACACAAAGAGAGCCAUCACUGGGAGGCAGGGACCAUCUGAAUACAGCACUCAAACUCACGGCAGUUACUCCUGGACCACUGCCCAGAGCAAUCUGUGAAGCCUCAAUACCCUAGAAAUGCUUGGAUGCUAGCACCCAUCCACUUCUCUUUAAAUAACCUGAGUGACACUUCCUGAGUGCUAAGGGCCGGACACCAAUUCAGCUGCUAAGAUAAACCCUGACUGAAGUUCA